CUCGCAGCCUCGUAACCCCAACAACAGGCCCCGGAGCUCAGCUUUUUAUUCCCACUUCACAGAUGAGGGAACGAAGACACGACCCACCCAAACUCACAGGUGGGCAGGGGGUGGUCUGACUCCCAGCCCAGUCCCAGGACCUGCUGGAAGUGAGGCAGCACGAACCCCCCAGGGCUCAGCUCUCCAAAUCCAAAAUGGAGGGGUUUCCCUUCACCCCUCAGCGCUCUGGAGGGAACGACAACUGCAGAUUCCAAGGUGUUUCAGGGAAAAGCCAUGCCCCCCGUGUCAGCCAGCACAGCCUGCAACGACCACACUGGUAACAAACAAGUAACUGUCCCAUUUUCCCUGAACUAUGUCUUCAAUUUCAUCUAAAAAUGGAACUAUGAAUUCCAAUGAGUCAGAGAAUCUUUUAAAAUGUAUAUUUAAAUGCACUAAGAUAUUGAGUUGCUAUAUAUCACAUUCACCCUCUAGGCACCUGAAGACACAAGUGACAGCAAUAUUGGCUGUGUGCAUUUCAUUAAAUAGGUUUACCCCCAAAACUGUCCACUUGCCUUUUAAACAUCCUUAGGGUUGCUGCCUUCAAAAACAAGCCUUUUGUUUCCACAGAGAAAUGCAUGCAAGUGGCUCCUCCCUGCAAAUCAGAACAUCUGACCCUGGCCCAGCACCGGACUCCUGUCCUGGAUGUGGUCUCAACAGCACAGCCUUGGAGCAAACCCAGGGAGCUCGAAUGAGUGACGGUCCUGGUGUGGGUUCAGCCAUAACCUCCAGGACAGAUGAGAGCAGGCACUUCUAAAGGGUGGCCCUUCCGAGAGGGAAAGGCCUGGAGCCUUACGCUGGAGCAUGCUCACUCUGGGGGUCUAGCGCCGAGUCCCGGGUCCUGAGGGACACACUGUGAGCCUGGAGUUGGUGACGGCUGGGGACAUACUGUGAGCCUGGAGCUGAUGACAGCUGGAACCGGACGGUGCACUGUGAGCCUGGAGCUGGUGACGGCUGGGGACAUACUGUGAGCCUGGAGCUGGUGGCUGCUGGAGACAUACUGUGAGCCUGGAGCUGGUGACGGCUGGAACCAGACAUUGCACUGUGAGCCUGCAGCUGGUGACAGCUGGGGACAUACUGUGAGCCUGGACCUGGUGACGGCUGGAACCGGACGGUGCACUGUGAACCUGGAGCUGAUGACAGCUGGGGACAUACUGUGAGCCUGGAGCUGGUGACGGCUGGGGACAUACGGGCUUUGAUCAUCAGCACGUGCUUGGAACUGUCACUCAGAACUCUGGGCUGUGGUGGCAUUUAGUGCACUGAGUUUUGACCUGUCCUGAGCCCUACAAACCUAACUUGUUGUUUUCUAAAAUUAAGGCCAAAAUGCCAGCAAAGCAAGCAUUAUUCCACCCGGUUACCUGCCCACAUCUGCACCAGACACUGCCACCG
rnacentral:lncRNA from 1 species